CCGACUCGUGGUGCAGGAGUUCUGGGGUCAGCCAAGACAACAGGCUGAUAGGAGACGUGCGGGGUGGACGGACUGCGGGACAUCUGAAGGAAGGGCUCAAGGCGCGCCAAGCUCAAAGCUGGGCCGCCACUCUAGACCGUGGAGGGAAGCGCCCGGGCCAGAUCAUCGGUCGAGGACAUGGGGUCGCCUCAGAGUGGGAAGGUGAGGGGCUCGGGAGGUGCCCUUACAAGCUCUGA
rnacentral:lncRNA from 1 species